AUCAGAUUAGCUAGUUGGUGGGGUAAAAGCUCACCAAGGCGACGAUCCGUAGCUGGUCUGAGAGGACGACCAGCCACACUGGGACUGAGACACGGCCCAGACUCCUACGGGAGGCAGCAGUGGGGAAUAUUGGACAAUGGGCGCAAGCCUGAUCCAGCCAUGCCGCGUGGGUGAUGAAGGCCCUAGGGUUGUAAAGCCCUUUCGGCGGGGAAGAUAAUGACGGUACCCGCAGAAGAAGCCCCGGCUAACUUCGUGCCAGCAGCCGCGGUAAUACGAAGGGGGCUAGCGUUGCUCGGAAUCACUGGGCGUAAAGCGCACGUAGGCGGCUUUUUAAGUCAGGGGUGAAAUCCUGGAGCUCAACUCCAGAACUGCCUUUGAUACUGAGAAGCUCGAGUCCGGGAGAGGUGAGUGGAACUGUGAGUGUAGAGGUGAAAUUCGUAGAUAUUCGCAAGAACACCAGUGGCGAAGGCGGCUCACUGGCCCGGUACUGACGCUGAGGUGCGAAAGCGUGGGGAGCA
rnacentral:rRNA from 1 species